rnacentral:lncRNA from 1 species
CGUAAAGUGGCAUUAGAAGGACGGAAAACACAAAGCUCGGGCAUCCAGAAGCGAAGCUUGAGUGAGUAGAAUCGACGUCCACUGCUCGGGCGAUGACCUUGGCCGCCUGGGCGGCCAAAUUGAAGGCUCGAGCCUUACAUGAAGUUCUCUCACCGCCUGGGUGGUCUCCCUGGACACCUGAGCUUCGACCUUCGUGGAUCAGGCCCUGUUUCUGCUCUGUUUCAAAUCUUUUGGACCGGGCCCU